CUCUUGCCGGAAAAGGAGACGGUGGUGCAUAUGCCUCCCACACUUCAGGAAAUGUCCGUCUAAAAUCAGAUGAUUUGCUGACAUCUCUACUGCUGCACCUCUCUCCAUGUCUGAAGCCAGUUCGACAACACUGCAGUAGCAUCUCUGUCAGAGAGCCAAUCAAGUGUGGCACCUCUACAGUGACAAGCACAGAAUGAAAAACACUGUAGACCAUGACACAUAGAGUUAGAUGCCACACGUCAACAGGUUGUCUUAUCACUGCGCUGCGCACCGUGAGCACUUGAGUGAAAUGGGCAGAGAGCCUUUCUACUGUGAGAUGAGCGAAGGAGACGGUGUUGCUUCUGAUCUGGUUGGUUGGCUGAAUACUGAGGUGUCGCUGCCACAGCGGAAGCUAGUGGGUCAACAUGCCGGCCCAAUUUUACAGUUGAGGUGCGCUCGUCACCAUGGAUGCUGGUGGCCACCGCUUUGCUCCAAAUAGAGCGUCACUUGAGUGGCACUCGAAGCCACAGAAUGUGGCGGAAUGUGGGCACUAGAGUACAUUUUUUUUCCCUCUAGUUUCAGUCCCUAUCUUUUGUUGUUAUCACCAAAGCAUUUCUUCAGCCAUCACUGCAACAUGACUUGAAACAGGAAUUGUAUUGUAAUGUCUGACUGUGACAAGGUUUUAGAUUAAAAAAAGGGUUUGCAGAAAUAAGUAAUAUCCAGACCCAAAGUGUUGUAAUCUAGUGACAAAGGUUGCCCGAAAAUAUGUAAAUACAAAUCAUUUUGUGGUUGAAUUAGAAAAUUCCAAAUAUAAUAAUAAUAAUAAUAUUGUUGGCAAGUAUUGUUUUAUCUCCUUUCAUUACUUAUCAGGGACAUAGUACACACAUCCUUAUUUCUAAUGGCAUGCCCCUUUACUGCAGCUGGAUUUAUGGGGUUGACAGAUGUGACUCAAGAUGUAAUAAUAAUCUGAAACAUGUCAAUAUGAAUUUUAAAUGCAAUUUAGUCGAUUCAUAAUGAAUUACAUCAGCUUAAUGUCAGACCGUUGACCUACUUCACUGGAUGUUAUUUUGAAUUGCAAAUGUCGUUCAUGCUCCAGCCUGCAAAAAUUAUGAAUGCAUAAAUGAUUUAAUACUGGCACACCGGCACACUUCAACAGAUUGAAUUUGUAUCUGGUCAAAUCAAAAUAAAAUGUAUUUUUACAAACAGAAAAUAAUCAUCACUAUUAAUUUUACGGGCUUUUAGCCCAUGGCAAGAUGAUAGAUU